CAGUAGCCGCGGUAAUACGUAGGGUGCAAGCGUUAAUCGGAAUUACUGGGCGUAAAGCGUGCGCAGGCGGUCCGCUAAGACAGAUGUGAAAUCCCCGGGCUUAACCUGGGAACUGCAUUUGUGACUGGCGGGCUAGAGUAUGGCAGAGGGGGGUAGAAUUCCACGUGUAGCAGUGAAAUGCGUAGAGAUGUGGAGGAACACCGAUGGCGAAGGCAGCCCCCUGGGCCAAUACCGACGCUCAUGCACGAAAGCGUGGGGAGCAAACAGGAUUAGAUACCCCUGUAGUCCCUGUCUCUUAUAA
rnacentral:rRNA from 1 species